GACUGGUGUGUUUACACCUUUUAAUUUGUUACAAGUAAUUUUCCUGUUUCUUCUCUCCAAUGUGUUUUGUCAUGCCUUGAAAUAGGAAGAUGUGUGAGCAGUGUGCUGUUUGCACAGAAAUCCACAGCACUGUUUUCUGAGGCCAGUAGUAACAUCAGAGACCGUUCUUCCAGACUUUACUCCCUCUUUUUUCAGACUUGUUUGUAAAAUGUAGAAUUUGAAUUUAGCCUUUAUGAUUGUAUAUGAUCCACAGAAGACCUGAUUUAUGAAGUUUUGUACUAAAAAAAAAAAAAAAGCAAAAUUGAAAACAGUUGUAUUGUAAACUAAGGCUAAUUUUUUUUAACCUGUGUCCUGUGUUCUGAAGGCCAGCUGGUAACAAAGCUGCAUCCGACUUUCUCUGCAGUGAUUUGCACUGUUGGGGUUGUUAGCCCUUUUGUACUACUUUAUUUUUAAAUUGAGAACAUUACUCUUUAAAUGUAAGUUUGCUUAGACCUUGGGAUAUUUUCUUGGACCAGAGGCAACUUAUGUAUGAAUUCCUGAAUUUCUAUGGAAACUUUCUACCAGGACAGAUAAGCUGAUCUGUAGGCAUUUAAUGGACUGAAGAUGACAGUUGACAUAUGUACAUUCUGGUAUUUUUAAGUCUUUAAGUUUUAACUUUUUAUGUUAAAAAAAUUACAGCUGCUUAGGUACAGCUUCUAAGUCCUUUCUGAGACAUUUUCUGUUCUGUCUCCACUGUGCCUGCCUAAAUUUGUUCUCACCGAGCACUGCCUGUGCAUGCAGAGAAAAUCUGUGCAUCUUUUAUAUUUUUAAAAACUAACAUUUGUGAGAAUUUUAUGGAAAUGCUUUUGUAUGAGCUGUGGCUUUUCCUUCCUCGUUGUGAAGCGUUGGAUAGCACAUUCUGGAACAUGUUCAUGGGUCCUGGGCUUGCUCACCAGACCCAAGCACUGCUUCUUGGUGUCCUUGCACCCAGAGUGCCACUAUCAUGUGUAUUUCUUAUUCUCUUAAUGUUUAAAAAAAAAUCAUUCCUUUUUUUUAAGAAGAGUAAUUUUCUGUUUAUGAAGCAGUAUAAAUUAGAUGCAUUUUCAAAACAGUUUCCCUAAGACAAUUGUUUGGAUCAUUUUUAAAGUGACUAAGGAAUUUUAGUAUGUCAACCAAGAUAAAAGUUAUACUGUACCCUAUAUUUUGCCCAUAGUGCCAUUAGUAGAUUAGAGAUUAAAGUCACCUUUAACUUUACAAAGUUAACUUGUAUAUGUUCUGUUCUCAGUCGUUAGUUCUCUCAAAAUCAAAUGAAUUCAGAGGGAACUUGUCUGGCUGCUUUUGUUUCAACUGCAGGCAGUGGAGCAGAAGGACGCCGUGUGGCACUAAAGUGAACUGUUGAGUGUUAACAGUUUUAUACAGAGACUGAGCCAUUUUGGAUGACUCAAAAUUUUAUGAGAAGACAUUUAAUUGCUUAUGCUGUUUUUAAGAGGAAAUAAAAUUACAUACUGUUUAAAUAAAUGAAUUUUUUCUUUUUAAGAAAUUCUCUAAAGGUCUUGAUAUCUUGGACCUUGUUUUUCCUUUAAGGUUUUUUGUUUUGUUUGUUUAAUCGUAAUUGUAAUGUUGGGUUUGUUUGUUGUGGAUUUUUACUUUGUUUAAGUUGUGCUGGCACCAAACACGUCCAGUUUGUAAUCAACAGGUUGGUGUAGAACCAGUACAUAACUUGCAAUGGCUUUUUGUCCUGUCUUCCCCCACCCCCACCCGUCUCUGUCUCUGUCUUGUAAAGUGUGAAUAUGAGAUGUACUGACUCGAUUUUCUUAAACACUGUGUUGGUAGUGUGCAUCAUGACAAUUUCCAGGGAAGGUGGACUGCAGUGGGUGGACUGAUGGGACUGAGGACCCACUUUCCCUGUGACCUGCUAAGGGCAGCACAGGUCUGGAGAGUGUGGUGCCAGGAGAGGGGAGGAGCACUUACUCAUCUCUGCAUUUGUUAGUGGAUGAUGUAUUCCUUUCAUGGAUACUGGAACUAGAGUGCACUUGUUAGAUGCUAAAGGUUUGAGCUUUACACAAAACAUUUCAUCUGUAUUUGUUACUGUCUACAAUAUAUUUGAAUUUGGGGGCAGCCUAGUAAGAUAUAAUUGCCUGUUAUGUCUUGAAAGUACUUGUUUUGCCUCUUUUAGGCAUACUGCAUUCUGUGGGUCAGUUUGAACAUCUCCACCUUGUUUAGAUAGUGAUAAGUUGAACAGAGAGUGUAGAUUUACAAGUAUAAUCUUCAAAAGAAAAAUAUUUUGAAUCUAUCAAGAAAUGUUCACACCAAAAUAGACUGAUACUUUGUUAAGCAAGGUUUUAUGUUUUAAAUGCUUUGUGUCCAAAAUAAUUUCCAAGAAACUAUACUUCUUAAAAUGCAUAAAACUAGUCUGUUUUCAUAAUGUAGAUUAUUUUUGAAAAAUUCUGUAAUAAAUAUAUGUAAUGUUUUGCUAUAAUGUAAUUUCAGUGUUCUUGCUGAUAAGUACAUCUUAGGAGUGUUUUACGGAGUGUUUGGAAUAUGUUUCCCUUUUAAAGAUGAGCAGAUUGGAGGCACUCAAAUCUUUGUAAAUUUUAUGAAGUACAGUUUACAGUAUUGGUGGUAAUUAUUUAUGCUUUGAGAAUUUAAAUAAUGUUCAUUGAAAUUAAUUUAUGGUAUAGUAUAAACUAAAAUUCUAGAAGUAAAUUGUUGAUUGCAGCUUUAAUAAUCCCAGAACAUAGGCAUCUCCAAAAAUUGUUUUUGUUUGUACUUUUAUUUGAUUUGGUGUCAACCAGGAAAAUUUAUUUCAUAUUAGCACUUUGAAACCUAAAGAUAUAAUUAAAUUCGGUAGAAUGCACUUCUAAAUCUUUAAAUUAUAAUUGAAACCUCUUAAGAUUCCAUUUUCCAAUAAUUAACAUUCAUGGUUUAAGAGUUCCACUUUUUCACUAUUUAAACUACAGAACUCAUUUCCAUCCUGACUCUGAAGUUUGGUGGUCAUGUCAUAGAACCAAGCAGGACAGUACAGUCUUCUGAUGAGUCAACCAUAAUAUCCAGUACAGAUGUUGCAGAUAAUUUCGAGAACAUAAGCAGGUGUCCUCCAACCACAAGCAGUAUUUUAAGAUGUUCGCUUUAUUCCUUUUGGUUACAUAAAUUUUAAAAACUGGUAUGUUGAUGUAGUGUCUAAAAUAGAGUAGUCUUUAUUCACAGUACAUUAUGUUGUGUAAUGCACUGGACUAACUCUUGUUUACCAUUCAUGUAACAAAACCCAGCACACUUCUGCACUAAGCUCAAGAAUGUCACAUCUGCCUAGGCAGCUCUUGAUAGGGGUGAUGAGAAACUGAAUUUACACCAUAUGGACUGGUGGUAACAAGGGCUUUUACUGUUCUUUUCAGUGGACUCUUCUUGGUCAAAUUGUAACUAGCUAGUAUUAUAUUUAUAUACAGGGUCUCUUUUCCUUACCGAUGUAUUUUCCUACUCAUAGCCAACCAAUAAAUUCAAUAUCUGUUUC
rnacentral:lncRNA from 1 species